rnacentral:tRNA from 3 species
CCCAUAGCUCAGCGGUUAGAGCAGUUGGCUCAUAACUAAUUGGUCCCUGGUUCGAAUCCAGGUGGG